rnacentral:rRNA from 1 species
UACAGAGGGUGCAAGCGUUAAUCGGAGUUACUGGGCGUAAAGGGCGCGUAGGCGGUGAGAUGUGAGUGAUGUGAAAGCCCUGGGCUUAACCUAGGAAGUGCAUCGCUAACUAUCUGACUGGAGUAUAAGAGAGGGUGGCGGAAUUUCCGGUGUAGCGGUGAAAUGCGUAGAGAUCGGAAGGAACGUCAAUGGCGAAGGCAGCCACCUGGCUUAAUACUGACGCUGAGGCGCGAAAGCGUGGGGAGCGAACAGGAUUAGAAACCCCAGUAGUCC